rnacentral:rRNA from 1 species
UACGUAGGGGGCAAGCGUUGUCCGGAAUCAUUGGGCGUAAAGGGCGUGUAGGCGGGAGAGCAAGUCGGGCGUGAAAUCCCUGGGCUCAACCCAGGAACUGCACUCGAAACUUCUCUUCUUGAGUGCCGGAGAGGAAAGCGGAAUACCUGGUGUAGCGGUGAAAUGCGCAGAUAUCAGGAGGAACACCGGUGGCGAAGGCGGGUCUCUGGGCCGAUACUGACGCUGAGGAGCGAAAGCGUGGGGAGCGAACAGG